rnacentral:misc_RNA from 1 species
AAACAAAUUACGAACGGUUGUUUGAAACUUUUAGCAGUUUUGCAGGCGAGGAAGAUAAAUUCAAAAAAAAACUGAAAAUUUAAGUUUUCGGAAGUGAUUUGUUGUUUGCGACAUGGUCGUUCCACCUAUGGCAGAAGGUAAUGGUGAGGUCCUGCUUGAAGAGUCAAUGAAGAUAGAAAUCGAUACGGAGAGAACGGAAGACUACCACAAGCUGAUUGAGUAUGGCCUCGAUGAAAAGGUGGCCGCUAAAUUGGACGAAAUUUACAAAACGGGCAAAUUGGCCCAUGUUGACCUGGACGAUCGCGCUCUCGACGCCCUCAAGGAGUUCCCCGUUGAUGGCGCGCUCAAUGUUCUCGGGCAAUUUUUGGAUUCGAACCUCGAACACGUUUCGAACAAAUCGGCGUACCUUUGUGGCGUAAUGAAAACUUACCGGCAGAAGAGCAGAGCCGGUUCCAGCCAAAGUACCGCAACACCGGCUCCCGCGCCAGUCAAAGGUCCCGAUGAAGAAAAAAUUAAACAAAUUUUGGAAAGAACUGGAUAUACAUUAGAUGUUACAACAGGACAAAGAAAAUAUGGUGGGCCACCUCCAGGUUGCGAUAGUACACCACCAGGACCUGGUUGUGAGGUAUUCUGUGGGAAAAUUCCAAAGGAUAUGUACGAAGACGAGUUAAUACCACUGUUUGAAGAAUGCGGCACAAUUUGGGAUUUGCGGCUAAUGAUGGACCCGAUGACGGGAACGAAUCGGGGCUACGCUUUCGUUACAUUUACCACUCGCGACGCCGCGCAACUUGCUGUGCAAAAGCUCGAUAAUUACGAAAUCAAAUCCGGCAAGACUCUGAAAAUAAACAUUAGUGUUCCGAAUCUUCGGCUUUUUGUGGGCAACAUACCAAAGUCUAAAGGCAAAGAGGAGAUACUGGAAGAGUUCGGUAAAUUAACAGCUGGUCUUAUGGAGGUGAUCAUAUACAGUUCUCCGGAUGACAAAAAGAAGAACCGCGGCUUUUGUUUUUUGGAGUACGAGUCUCAUAAGGCUGCCUCUUUGGCAAAACGUCGAUUGGGCACCGGCAGGAUUAAGGUUUGGGGCUGUGACAUCAUAGUCGAUUGGGCCGACCCACAGGAAGAACCAGACGAACAGACCAUGUCGAAGGUUAAAGUACUUUACGUGCGCAAUUUGACUCAGGAUAUUUCUGAGGAAAAAUUGAAGGAGUCUUUCGAACAGUAUGGUAAAGUUGAGCGUGUUAAGAAAAUUAAGGAUUACGCGUUUAUUCAUUUUGAGGAUCGUGAAAAUGCCGUUAAGGCGAUGGAAGAAUUAGAUGGUAAAGAAAUGGGUGGUUCAAAUAUAGAAGUGUCUUUAGCAAAACCUCCGUCCGAUAAAAAGAAAAAAGAAGAAAUUUUGCGUGCCAGAGAAAGGAGAAUGAUGCAAAUGAUGCAAGUUCGUGGCGGGAUGAUGCCAGGGGCGAUGCCAAUUCGAGGACCGCCGGGACAAGGUGGCCCAAGGACUAGCGCAGGAAUACGCGGGCCGAUGGGUCGUGGGGAUUAUGAUUAUGAUUACGACUAUUACGGUUAUGGGGAUUAUCGAGGCGGCUACAGUGACCCCUAUUACGAUGACUAUUACCGUUACGAGGAUUACUAUUACGAUUAUCCGCCUGCUCCGCCGCAAGCACGAGGACGAGGCCGUCAGCCACAGCCGGAACUGGAGGAAGCGAGCACAACGAGUGUGUACUUCGAAAGUGGAACACAGGUUGGCCGUGGACGUGGGGUGGUGGCACGUGGCCGGGCCGGUGGGCCCCCAGCCCGUGGGGCGGCGGCGGUGGCCAACAGAGCGGGCCGGGCCGGAGCAGCCGGGGGGCGUGGGGCAGCACGUCAGCCCGCUCGUGGGGGGGCCCGCGCCAAGGGAAGUUUACCAGCUGUUUUGUUAGCUACUGCUUAGUUCUUUUGAAUACAACGACUGACUUUAGGAUAGAUCUUGUUUUCCUUGUGAUAUCGCAGCAGGUAAGCGAAAAUUUGACGGGGGUCACCAGAAUCAGGGGGAGUCAAAGCGCAGAUACCAGAGCACGUGGGGCAACCAG